AUGCUAAUCUUGUUACUCUAUAUCUUAAUCAUGAAUGUGAUAAAAAGCUUUUAAUAAUUGAUUCAAAUCUGAUUAUCACAUAUCAAGAUGAGAUCUCGGAUUGUAUGUUAUUUAACGGACAAAUUCUAGAGUUGGCAUAAUGGUGCCAAGUUGUGAAGCAUUAUUGGGGAGAGUCUUGUGCUUUGAUAUAGAAAUAUGCAUGAGCAUUGUG
rnacentral:lncRNA from 1 species